rnacentral:tRNA from 1 species
CGGGAUGUAGCGCAGCCUGGUUGAGCGUGCUUCGUUCGGGACGAAGAGGUCGCUAGUUCAAAUCUAGUCAUCCCGACCA